UACAGAGGGGGCAAGCGUUGUUCGGAAUUACUGGGCGUAAAGGGCGCGUAGGCGGCCACCUAAGUCAGACGUGAAAUCCCUCGGCUCAACCGGGGAACUGCGUCUGAUACUGGGCGGCUUGAAUUCGGGAGAGGGAUGCGGAAUUCCAGGUGUAGCGGUGAAAUGCGUAGAUAUCUGGAGGAACACCGGUGGCGAAGGCGGCAUCCUGGACCGACAUUGACGCUGAGGCGCGAAAGCUAGGGGAGCAAACGGG
rnacentral:rRNA from 1 species